UGCGUAGGCGGCUAGGCAAGUCAGACGUGAAAACCAUGGGCUCAACCUGUGGACUGCGUUUGAAACUGUUUAGCUUGAGUGAAGUAGAGGUAGGCGGAAUUCCCGGUGUAGCGGUGAAAUGCGUAGAGAUCGGGAGGAACACCAGUGGCGAAGGCGGCCUACUGGGCUUUAACUGACGCUGAGGCACGAAAGCAUGGGGAAGCAAACAG
rnacentral:rRNA from 1 species